GCAACCAAGCGGAGUGAAUCUAUAACAACAGGAAGCGGAGCUAAGGCAAGCAAUCAAGCUGCCGGAGAAGCCGAUGCCCUACCUGUAGCAGCCGAUGGUGACCUUUUCCCGGGGGAUACUCUUCUUCAAGUAAUGAAAAAACACGGGGUUUCGUCGAGAAGGGCUUAAAGGAAGCGCCCUAUUCUCCAAAGCAGCGAUGGGGCAAAGUCUAUAGGAUUCCCCUUCAGACCCAGCGCAAUAAGAUUCCUUCGAAACUGCUUACCGGUUUCUUUCUCGCUUAGCUGCAUAUCAAGUAAACUCCUUGCCCGCAGACGAGUCUAAAGACGAUGAAAAUAAUACCCUUGAAACCGCUUUUAUCACAUAUGAUAAGGAACCACUAGGCACAAGGAAAGAUUGGCUUUAAAGCCUCAGAAUGAGUCUGUGAGCCGAUGUGAUGAGUGAAAGGCGAAGGAACUCGACUGAUACUAAGAGGAAACGGAGCUGUGCCCGAUUUAGGAUAGGGUUAUACGGAAAUAAGGAGAGACGGCAAAUAAGAGCAGCCCGCGGUUAAUCCUUUAUUGCGCUUGGUUAACGACAUAGGGACUAAGAAGAGCUCGACCGUUAGGGAGAGGGGCCGAAGGUUCUGAAAGAAUCGAAAAUAAGACCUUUUAAGACACGCGAAACCCACUCGAUAGGGAAACAUACGUGAGGAAAGCAGAGAUAGGGUUUUAAGUAUCUUCGUUCGCCUUACAAUCAAUGGUAGUGAAUGAAUACCCCUUGCUAAGUGUAACAGCCCACUCCUUUGCUUCGUCGAGCUCCUGAACUGAACCCCUUCACGCUCAUGUCACGUCGAGGAAGAAUCUGAUUCACUCCGGGAUAUGGGGGCACCGAAGCAGAAGCAGAGCAGAACUCCCUUGCUAUGAGCCAUAGAGGCACUUCAAGUGAAGAAUCGACCGGAGCAGGACUAAUCUUGUUGUUGUUAACUUCUGCACCAGUGUUGAAGAACAGGGGGAUUCCCGGUUCAAU
rnacentral:lncRNA from 1 species